UAGCUUAGUUGGUAAGGCGCCCGACUCUCAACCCAGAGGUCGGGGGUUCGAUUCCCGCUAAG
rnacentral:tRNA from 1 species